rnacentral:tRNA from 1 species
CGGCAUAGCUCAGUUGGUAGAGCAGCUGAUUUGUAAUCAGCAGGUCGUAGGUUCGAGUCCUAUUGCCG